UGCUUAAUACAUGCAAGUCAACUUGACUUUAGAUAGCAAUAUCGAAAGUAGGGUGGCGCACGGGUGCGUAACGCGUAGGUAAUCUGCCCUGAGGUCUGACAUAACCCGUCGAAAGGCGGGCUAACAUCAGAUGAUAUACAAUCACGACAUCGUGGAAAUAUCAAAUCUUCGGAGCCUUGGGAUGAGCCUGCGUCUGAUUAGGUAGUUGGCGGAGUAAUAGCCCACCAAGCCUACGAUCAGUAGCUGGUCUGAGAGGAUGAUCAGCCACACUGGAACUGAGACACGGUCCAGACUCCUACGGGAGGCAGCAGUAAGGAAUAUUGCUCAAUGGGGGGAAACCCUGAAGCAGCAACGCCGCGUGAAGGAUGAAAUACUUUUGUAUGUAAACUUCUGUAAGAUGGGAAAAAUAUUCUCCUCGGGAGAAUUGAUUGUACCAUCAGAGUAAGCCCCGGCUAACUACGUG
rnacentral:rRNA from 1 species